rnacentral:rRNA from 1 species
UACAGAGGGUGCAAGCGUUAAUCGGAAUUACUGGGCGUAAAGCGUGCGUAGACGUUACAUAAGUCGGGUGUGAAAGCCCCGGGCUCAACCUGGGAAUUGCAUUCGAGACUGCGUAGCUAGGGUGCGGAAGAGGGAAGCGGAAUUUCCGGUGUAGCGGUGAAAUGCGUAGAUAUCGGAAGGAACACCAGUGGCGAAAGCGGCUUCCUGGUCCAGCACCGACGUUCAGGCACGAAAGCGUGGGGAGCAAACAGG